rnacentral:rRNA from 1 species
AGCGAACGCUGGCGGCAGGCCUAACACAUGCAAGUCGAACGAACCUUUCGGGGUUAGUGGCGGACGGGUGCGUAACACGUGGGAACGUGCCUUUAGGUUCGGAAUAACUCAGGGAAACUUGUGCUAAUACCGAAUGUGCCCUUCGGGGGAAAGAUUUAUCGCCUUUAGAGCGGCCCGGGUCUGAUUAGUUAGUUGGUUGAGGUCAUGGCUCACCAAGGCGACGAUCAGUAGCUGGUCUGAGAGGAUGAUCAGCCACAUUGGGACUGAGACACGUCCCAAACUCCUACGGGAGGCAGCAGUGGGGAAUCUUGCGCAAUAGGCGAAAGCCUGACGCAGCCAUGCCGCGUGAAUGAUAAAGGUCUUAGGAUUGUAAAAUUCUUUCACCGGGGACGAUAAUGACGGUACCCGGAGAAGAAGCCCCGGCUAACUUCGUG